AUACGUAGGUGGCAAGCGUUGUCCGGAUUUACUGGGUGUAAAGGGCGUGUAGGCGGAGAUGCAAGUCAGGAGUGAAAUCUAGGGGCUCAACCCCUAAACUGCUUUUGAAACUGUAUCCCUUGAGUAUCGGAGAGGCAGGCGGAAUUCCUAGUGUAGCGGUGUAAUGCGUAGAUAUUAGGAGGAACACCAGUGGCGAAGGCGGCCUGCUCGACGCAAACUGACGCUGAGGCGCGAAAGCGUGGGGAGCAAACAGGAUUAGAUGCCCUGGUUGUCCUCGCUGUAAACGAUGAUGAAUAGGUGUGGGGGGACUGACCCCCUCCGUGCCGCAGGUAACACAAUAAGUAUUCCACCUGGGGAGUACGAUCGCAAGAUUGAAACUCAAAGGAAUUGACGGGG
rnacentral:rRNA from 1 species